UUUUACUAUGAAGUUUUGAAAAAAAUCUUAUCCUAGAAUUGAAAGUUCAUUUGCACCACAAUUUUUUUCAAAGGUCAAAAUAUAGGGCUGUGCGGCCAUAUUUCAACGUUUAUAUGCCCUGAACUUCUCAGAGUUUAAACUUACACUAACUUUCUUAACUACCCCUACCUCGAAUGAAAGGUUACCACAGAUUUCAAUGUAAACAAUAUGCACGUGUUUAUUUACUGGUAACAUUCCCAAGUUCUGUCUCUGCGAUAUGGAACACAGAGAGCAUAACUGGGAACCAGUAUGUAAACAAAAUUAAUUUUCUAUGAAUAUUCAAUUUCUCCC
rnacentral:lncRNA from 1 species